ensembl:lncRNA
UCACAAUCAUCGUCUGGUGUGCACAACAAUAUCAUCUUUGGACAAGUGCAUUCAGUGUGUGGGACUGGUUUCCUCCCUCAAGUGGCUUGGCUAUAAGUGCAAAGCAGAUGAAGGACUACUCACAAUGCCUGCAGCAAGUGAGACUGCUGCUCCCUCUGAAGAGAAAAAUGCUGCUCAAUCCCACAAUUCCCGAAGAGCUCCCAAAAACAUGUGGUCCAAGGCUGAGGUUGCUGCAGUGAUGAGGCAUUUGAAAGACCACAUAAACGAAGGGAAACUAGCCACCAAAAAUGAAUGCAGUCAUUGCAAAUUGGUAGAAGAUCCGGUGUUGGCAGGAAGAACAGUUCAAAACAUAAGAGAUUUUGUAAGAAACAGAGGAUUAACUGCAAAAAGGCAGAAAAAAAUGAACUAAAAUAACUGUUUAGAGAGCUGUGGUUUUACAUCUUGGUCAGAUUGCCAAUUGUUGUUAACACUGAUGUUCUGUUUAAAGAAAAAAAAGUUCUUGUUAAAUACAGAAGUAGUUUGUAUUUCAUAAUUUUUACAUUUAAUUUAUUUAGGGUUUUUUUUGACGGGUUAUAUUUAAAAUAAAAAAUUAUAAAUGCAUAUUUUCUCCCCUUAAUAUUUACCUUUAAACUAUUAAAAUUCAUUUUAAAUGUUUUUAAUUUUUCUGUUUUCUAUAUUUUUAUAUUUCUGUGGGAAGCGUGGGCAUUUUUGUCCAUAGAUUUCUUUUUUUAUUUAUGGUUAAAAUUAAUGUUCAGAUCCAAGAACACUAAUAAAAUGAUGUUCCAGUAAUCCUGUGUCCUGUCAGAUGUGUAUUCAUGGUAAUGAUGAGCUAUUUAAAUAUUACAUCAUUGUCCCUUUAAAGACCCAAUAUUGCUUUUUUUGGACCUCAUAAAACACAUUGUUGUCAAGUGGACAAUGUCUCCAGAAAACACAAUAGAGUCUGGUUGGUGUGUAUCAGUGUAUCUAGACUUCUAUAGGGAGUGUAUGAGGUCUGAAGUGACCCAAAUUUUUUUCAGAUUUUUUCGAACACUUUAACCUCGCUCCCUUGGCUCUAAGUCCUUUCAAAAGGGUAGUCCACUUAAACCACCACCGGGCGGAUUGACGUAGUAUAGUCCCGCCAUACCACAUAGACCCGUAUGUGUGUGUGUGUGUGUGUGUGUGACAGAGUUCAGUGAGACCAUGGAGGAGAAGAGGGGAGAGGGGGCAGAAUCGGGAGGGAGUUAAGCUUCCUGAC